rnacentral:lncRNA from 1 species
UAGAAUUUUCAAAGCUGUAAGAAAGAGGUGAGGAUGCUGAGAUGUAGAGAGACUGAUUUGCUCAAGAUAACAAAGAGUUUUAUUGAUUUGGGAACCCAUGGAAGGGGGUCAGCUGUGAGAUAUCACAUGAUCAGACUGACUGCCUGACCAGACUGACUGCCAUCCUGUUAAAGGGGAAUGAAUCACAGUUCAUCUCGCAGAUUUAUGGCAUGCCUACAGAAAAAGUACCUUAUGAUGCAAACCUGAAAGUUUAAAUAAUCUCCUGAAAGUUCCACAAUCAGGUGCAGAGAACUCCAGGAGCUGUUUUUAAAGAAGAUUAAGGUCUCACCCCUGCAGUACGCUUCUUUCCGUUGGGUUUCCUCCGCCUGUAAGUCACCUUUCUUGAAGGGGUAUCUUCAAGAAGACCCAAGCCUGCCUAGCUUUCCUGGUGUCCUCCUGGCCAUAGGAAACUCUCCUGUUUUUGUCUCACUGCACCGUUACCUCUUCUUUUCCAUACCAUUCUACUCCAGCCAGGUUCCAGCUUUCAUCAUUCUCCAGAGAAGACAUCUCCAUUUUCACAUAAGCUCCCCAACUCUCAAGAAGACAUGUCAAACUUCAAAGAAC